rnacentral:misc_RNA from 1 species
CGAACAAGACAGCUAAAAACAGAAAACAACAAAGAAAAGAAUGCAGACAACGACGAGGGACAACUCAAACUGUUUCUACUGAGAAGUCCCUGCAUGCACGAAUGCUGUGAGAGGGGAGACCCCACGGACGACAGACGGGGAGAAGAUGGGGGAGUGUGUGGACGGAGAGAGAGAGCGUGAGCACAGCAACGAAAACGGCUGCAGCACAUGCGCGAUGGAGACACUCGAAUUAUUUCGUGCUUCACCGUCUCCGCGUCUCUCUCUGAGUUGAUGGUCCCUGUACUGCUCUUCGACUCGAGCUCUCUGUCACCUCGACUGCUCGCCUGUGCGGUAAGCGCGCGCACCUGUUACCUGCUUGUUUGCGUGCUGCUGUAAAUGCACUGCGCGCGAUUCUGCAGGGCAACGCACCCUUCCCCUCCCCGCUCUUCCUUUAGCUGCUGCACCGUCUUAACUGUUUGGGCGGAGAGGGUCGUGGCGGAUGUCAGUGCAUGUGGCGCUGUGAGUGUAUGUGCGCAUUGAGCCCCUUUCUCUCUCAAGAAGUGCUCGGAGUAUCUGAGCGUGUGUGUGCGUGCGUGCAGACGAUCAGUGGCAGCUGCUACUGUUGCCCAUCUCCUGCCAAGCACGAAGCGGCGAACAGCGGAGCGGAGAAAGAGUAGCGACGCCGCGAAGACUUCGUCCUGUGAUUGCUGUUGUUUUUACGAAGAGAGCGCGACGAAUUAGGAGACGAGGGAACGAGCCGAGCGCGGUGAUGGAGAAAGAGAAGCGAGUGAGCGUCGUGUAGAGGAGGUGGAGGGUGGGGAAGAAACGACGCACAUUGCAGAGAUGUGCUCAUGUGGAGGAAAGGGGAAGGGGGACGAAAACACAGCAAGAGAGGCGUUACCUCAAUGCAAAAAAAAAUGCGAACAAAACUUUUAACAUUAAAAGUCACCCCCCCCCCUCCUCUCGAGCCACUGCAUACAAGCGGACAUACACAAGACCGCUGGAUCACCCUGCAAGCGCAUGUGUGUGUGCGUGUUUGUGCGGUACAUUCUGGCCUCCCUACCUCUCGCGGCACGUGCGUUUUUUCAUCCGUUUUCGCUCCCCGGCACUGUCAUCUGCGCCCGUCACCCUCACGCUCUCUCGUGGUGUAUGUGAGUGUGUCUUCGCAGGUAGAAUGGCUCUUGUUUGCGUCCAGUGCAUCCACUUAUUCCCGUUUCAUGCUCGCCGUGCGCUCGUCAAGCGCGACUCUGCCUGCCCCGUUCAUUUCCGCUACAGCCUUCCUUCCUUUAUUUUUCCUUUUCCGCCGCCGCCACGGUGUACGAGAUUGAAUGCGUGAAAAUGGACACGUGUUGGCGUGCCAGCAAGGAGGCCGGAGAUGCGGAAUGGUACAGUGAGCGUAGCAACGAGUACCACGUCGGGAGUGUGUGUCGGUGUGUGUGCGCGUGUGUUUCUGCUGGCGCUUGCUUGAGUCAUUGGUGAGAGAGAGAGAGGAUGAGUGAGACUGAGGAACUGACGAUAGCGAGUAGCGAGAUGCACAGCAUCUAUUCUCUGUUUUUUCAUGUUGCGAAUAUGUUGAUGUCACCGUACCAAUGGCGCUGUCACCCGAUCCCUCUUUCCACAGGCCCCGCCUUAGAACACAGGACGCAGCUGUGCCGUUCAUCUUUGUUUUUUAUUGCAAGCAGUUCCAGUUGCCGUCGUUUCACGCCUUUCCAUGCUAGCCCCCUUUUCCUUCCUGCUCGACUCGUCUUGCGGUGUUCUCGCCCACAGUGGCUGCACCGCUGCACCACGCCGCAGCAAAUACCAUUGAAAAAAGGUGGAACGCCGACUGGUGCGUUGCGUGUCGUUUUUUGGUUGGUUGGUUGGUUGGUUGUUCGCUUGAUUGUGCUAUCCGCUACUCGCUUCCUGAGUUCUUUCCAGGCGAUCCCCCUCAUCCGUUCUUCUCUUCUGCAAAGUUCCCACAUGCAUAUAGACAGCUGAUGUGCACGUGCGUGUGCGCACAUCGAUGCGAACAUCAAGGGGAGCGGCGUGGUGUAUACGUGGUGCAUCGCACGAUUCCAAAUACCGGGGCGGAGAUGGGGAGGCACAGGCACAGCAAGCAGUGGAAACAGAAGCAUAGGGACAGACAGUUGGCAAUGUGCGCACUCACAGAGACCCUCAACGCAAGGUCCCUUUUACUCCUUGCUGGUGCUCUCCCUGGGCGCGGAAUGAGCGGCAUGCCUACCUCUGUCCAUGCUUGCAUUCUACUGUAGCACGGUGGUGACUAGCGGGAAGGUGUUCUCUCCUCUUCUGCCGCUGCUCUCGUAUUCACUCCCCCGCUGCCGCCGGCCUCCGUGCCCCUCCUCCUCCGUUUUCCUCGCAGCUGUCUUGUUCGUAUCUCUUUCUCGUAUCUUUUUCUCGUGCGCGCGUGUGCGCGUUCGUGUAUAGGUGGACGUGUGUGUCUUUCCGUUGGCGCAGCACGUCCCCCCCCCCUUUCUUUGGGUACUUCCGUGCGCUGGGUCUCCCUCCUUCACCGUUUUCUUUUUCAAGAGAUGUGUGCCCUGCCUCAACAUGUCGUGUUAGGCGGGAGGAGGGGAGGAGAACACACACACACACGCACACGCACACGCACACGCAUGCACGAGAGCAGAAGAAGCGGCGAGAUCCACAGCCACUCACGCUCUCUCUCCCCCUCCCUCCCUCGCAGCCGCUCCAUCGCUCUCACCUCAUGCCGCCGCAUAGCC